UCAAGCGUUUAAGGGCGAUUGGCGGAUGCCUUGGCACUGUAAGACGAUGAAGGACGUGGUAUACUGCGAUAAGUUUCGGGGAGCUGUAUGCAAGCUUUGAUCCGAAAAUUUCCGAAUGGGGAAACCCACCACUUUAUGUGGUACUUUAAACUGAAUUCAUAGGUUUAAAGAGACAACCUGGAGAACUGAAACAUCUAAGUAACCAGAGGAAAAGAAAUCAAUUGAGAUUCCGUUAGUAGUGGCGAGCGAAAGCGGACUAGGCCAGUAAUUUUGUUAGUAUAAUUUGAAUAGUUUGGAAAAACUAACCACAGAGGGUGAUAGUCCCGUAAAAGUAAUGCUGAUUCUAAGUUCUUGAGUAAAGCGGGACACGUGAAAUCCUGCUCGAAUAUAGGGGGACCACCCUCUAAGCCUAAAUACUCUUCAGUGACCGAUAGUGAACUAGUACCGUGAGGGAAAGGUGAAAAGAACCCCUAUUAGGGGAGUGAAAUAGAACCUGAAACCGCAUGCCUACAAUCAGUCGAAGCUCUUUUUAGAGUGACGGCGUACCUUUUGUAUAAUGGGUCAGUGACUUAAUUUAUUAAGCAAGCUUAAGCCAUCUAGGUGUAGGCGCAGCGAAAGCAAGUCUUAAUAGGGCGAUUAGUUUAAUGAAUUAGACCCGAAAACGAAUGAGCUUACCAUGAGCAGGUUGAAAGCAAGGUAACACUUGCCGGAGGACCGAACCAGUUGACGUUGAAAAGUCUUUGGAUGACUUGUGGUAAGGGGUGAAAGGCCAACCAAAUUCGUAGAUAGCUGGUUUUCCGCGAAAACUAUUUAGGUAGUGCGUUGAAUAAACAUAUGUUUGGAGGUAGAGCACUAAACGGGCUAGGGGGGAGAAAUCCCUACCAAACCUGAUAAAACUCCGAAUGCCAAACGUAAUUCCUCAACAGACAGACUGUGGGUGCUAAGGUCCAUGGUCGAGAGGGGAACAGCCCAGAUCACCAGAUAAGGUCCCUAAAUCAUGAUUAAGUGUGAAAGGAUGUGGAGAUUCCUUAACAGCCGGGAGGUUGGCUUAGAAGCAGCCAUCCUUUAAAGAUAGCGUAACAGCUCACCGGUCUAAUAGAGUUUCUGCGCCGAAGAUGUAACGGGGCUAAAAUCAUAUACCGAAUCUGUGGGUUUAUAAAAUUUUCUAAUUUUAUAAGCGGUAGCGGAACGUUCUGUAAGCCUGCGAAGGGAUACCUGUGAGGGAUCCUGGAGGUAUCAGAAGUGCGAAUGCUGACAUAAGUAACGAUAAAUGAAGUGAAAAACUUCAUCGCCGAAAAUCCAAGGGUUUCUGCGCAAGGUUAAUCCGCGCAGAGUUAGUCGGCACCUAAGGCGAGGGCGAAAGCCGUAGUCGAUGGAAAUAAGGUUAAUAUUCCUUAACCAGAUGGAAGUGACGGAUCUUGUAAGUUGUGAGUUCUUAAUGGAUUGAACUUGCCGCGAAAAAGUCCCAGGAAAUAGCUCCAUCAUUAGACCGUACCCGAAACCGACACAGGUAGAUUAAUAGAGUAUAUUUAGGCGCUUGAGAGAAUGAUGUUGAAGGAACUCGGCAAAAUGCUUCUGUAACUUCGGAAUAAAGAAGACCUUUUUUUGGGCAACCAUUAAAAGGUGGCACAAGCCAGGGAGAAGCGACUGUUUAUCAAAAACACAGGGCUCUGCUAACACGUAAGUGGAUGUAUAGGGUCUGACGCCUGCCCGGUGCUGGAAGGUUAAUGCGAUGGGUGCAAGCUCAUUUCUGAAGCCCCAGUAAACGGCGGCCGUAACUAUAACGGUCCUAAGGUAGCGAAAUUCCUUGUCGGG
rnacentral:rRNA from 1 species